AACGAACGCUGGCGGCAGGCCUAACACAUGCAAGUCGAGCGGACCCUUCGGGGUUAGCGGCGGAAGGGUGAGUAACGCGUGGGAAUAUGCCCUUCUCUACGGAAUAGUCCUGGGAAACUGGGGGUAAUACCGUAUACGCCCUUUGGGGGAAAGAUUUAUCGGGGAAGGAUUAGCCCGCGUUGGAUUAGGUAGUUGGUGGGGUAAUGGCCUACCAAGCCGGCGAUCCAUAGCUGGUUUGAGAGGAUGAUCAGCCACACUGGGAAUGGGACACGGCCCAGACUCCUACGGGAGGCAGCAGUGGGGAAUCUUAGACAAUGGGGGCAACCCUGAUCUAGCCAUGCCGCGUGAGUGAUGAAGGCCUUAGGGUUGUAAAGCUCUUUCAGCUGGGAAGAUAAUGACGGUACCAGCAGAAGAAGCCCCGGCUAACUCCGUG
rnacentral:rRNA from 1 species